UGAAAUUCAGUCCAUGAUUACGCUAAGAUUUCAAGCUUUGUCUGUUGUUUUUAACAUUGUACUUUGAAGCUGAGUGCUGACUUUUAAUUGUUCCUCAUUUGCUCCAAUAACAACCAGCUCGUUUUUUUCUUCAUUUAAUUUAGGAAACAUAGCCAAAUGUG